UACAGAGGUGGCAAGCGUUGUUCGGAAUUACUGGGCGUAAAGGGCGCGUAGGCGGCCUUCUAAGUCAGACGUGAAAUCCCCAGGCUUAACUUGGGAACUGCGUCUGAUACUGGGAGGCUUGAGUGCGGGAGAGGGAUGUGGAAUUCCUGGUGUAGCGGUGAAAUGCGCAGAUAUCAGGAAGAACACCCGUGGCGAAGGCGGCUCUCUGGGACGGUACUGACGCUGAGACGCGAAAGCGUGGGGAGCGAACAGG
rnacentral:rRNA from 1 species